GAAAUGCGAUAAGUAAUGUGAAUUGCAGAAUUCAGUGAAUCAUCGAAUCUUUGAACGCACAUUGCGCCCGCCAGUAUUCUGGCGGGCAUGCCUGUCCGAGCGUCAUUUCAACCAUCAAGCCCCCGGGCCUGUGUUGGGGACCUGCGGCUGCCCGCAGGCCCUGAAAACCAGUGGCGGGCUCGCUGUCACACCGAGCGUAGUAGCAAUCACCUCGCUCAGGGCGUGCUGCGGGUUCCGGCCGUUAAACAGCCUUACAAAACCCAAGGUUGACCUCGGAUCAGGUAGGAAGACCCGCUGAACUUAAGC
rnacentral:misc_RNA from 1 species